UACGGGGGGGGCAAGCGUUGUUCGGAAUUACUGGGCGUAAAGGGCUCGUAGGCGGCCAGCUAGGUCGGACGUGAAAUCCCCAGGCUCAACCUGGGAACUGCGUCCGAUACUGGAUGGCUUGAAUCCGGGAGAGGGAUGCAGAAUUCCAGGUGUAGCGGUGAAAUGCGUAGAUAUCUGGAGGAAUACCGGUGGCGAAGGCGGCAUCCUGGACCGGCAUUGACGCUGAGGAGCGAAAGCCAGGGGAGCAAACGGG
rnacentral:rRNA from 1 species